rnacentral:lncRNA from 13 species
CUAGUGUCCACAUCUAAACGUCAUCUGAGCCAUGGUGGCUUUGAGAGGUCAAAGCUUUAAGUGAACAGGAAUGUAAACCUUAAAAUUCAGCCUCUACUGCCAACGCCUGUGACUUUUCGGGCAUCACAGCAGUCCACAGCACAAAGAUCUUCAAGGAAAUCACCCAAAAAAUGAGACAUCUUUCUUAUUAGGGUUUAUCAUUAACUGAGAAAGGAAGAAGUAUUUAAAGUAUCUUUUUUUUUCCUAAAGCUCUCUUUGCUGAAGGACCCCCAGAGAAAGCAGUCUGGGGACUUCCAUCCUUACUAGAUGCACACCAAGCAGGUCCCAUUCACUCCGUUUCAGCUUUUCUUUCAUGGCAUCAGGGGCAGGAUAUUAUCUGCAAGCAGCCAAGUCGAAAGGAGCAGUGCUAUCUUAGGACCAUGGGUCAAGCGGCAUGAAGACAAAGAUGACGGUGCUAAGGACGGUGGAGCAGAAAUUCAGAGGGAAUCUGAGUCCUAAAUGGCAUUGGAGCAGCCCUGGACUGGCACCCAGAUUUCUGAUAUGUCAAGCAUGAAAAUCACUAGCUGUGUCAGAUCCACCAG